UACGUAGGGGGCAAGCGUUGUCCGGAUUUAUUGGGCGUAAAGAGCGUGUAGGCGGCCAGCCAAGUCUGCUGUGAAAACUCGAGGCUCAACCUCGAGCUGGCGGUGGAAACUGUCUGACUAGAGUCCGGAAGAGGAGAGUGGAAUUCCUGGUGUAGCGGUGAAAUGCGCAGAUAUCAGGAAGAACACCUAUGGCGAAGGCAGCUCUCUGGGACGGUACUGACGCUGAGACGCGAAAGCGUGGGGAGCGAACAGG
rnacentral:rRNA from 1 species